GAUAAACGCUGGCGGCGUGCCUAACACAUGCAAGUCGAACGCCCUACGCAAGUAGGGAGUGGCGGACGGGUGAGGAACACGUGGGUUAUCUGCCUUGAGGUGAGGAAUACCGGCGAGAAAUCGCCGACAAUACCGCAUACGUUCGUAAGAACAAAGUCGCAAGACGCCCCAAGAUGAGCCUGCGUCCGAUUAGCUAGUUGGUGGGGUAAAAGCCUACCAAGGCAGCGAUCGGUAGCUGGUCUGAGAGGACGAUCAGCCACACUGGGAUUGAGAACGGCCCAGACUCCUACGGGGGCAGCAGUGAGGAAUUUUCGUCAAUGGCCGAAAGGCUGAACGAGCAACGCCGCGUGCAGGAAGAAGGUCUUCGGAUCGUAAACUGCUUUUCGUGGGGAAGAGACCGGACGGUACCCCAGGAAGAAGCCCCGGCUAACUACGUGCCAGCAGCCGCAGUAAC
rnacentral:rRNA from 1 species